GGAAAUAAACUGAGAUAGGCUUUGAAAAUAGUGUGAGGUACACUUUAAAAUAGCUUGCGGGAAGCUUUGAAAAUAGUGUGAGGUACACUUUAAAAUAGCUUGCGGGAAGCUUUGGUUUGUA